rnacentral:rRNA from 1 species
GUGAGGAAUAUUGCGCAAUGGAGGCAACUCUGACGCAGCCAUGCCGCGUGCAGGAAGAAGGCGCUACGCGUUGUAAACUGCUUUUAACCGGGAAGAAACCCCAGGACGUGUCCUGGGUUGACGGUACCGGAGGAAUAAGCACCGGCUAACUUCGUGCCAGCAGCCGCGGUAAUACGAAGGGUGCAAGCGUUAUCCGGAUUCAUUGGGUUUAAAGGGUGCGUAGGCGGAGCGUUAAGUCAGUGGUGAAAUCCUGCAGCUUAACUGUAGACUUGCAAUUGAUACUGGCGCUCUUGAGUGCGGUUUAAGUGGGCGGAAUGUGCCGUGUAGCGGUGAAAUGCUUAGAUAUGGCACAGAACACCAAUUGCUAAGGCAGCUCACUAAGGCGAUACUGACGCUGAGGCACGAAAGCGUGGGGAUCGAACAGGAUUAGAAACCCCAGUAGUCC